GACGAACGCUGGCGGCGUGCCUAAUACAUGCAAGUCGAACGCAGUGGGGACGGGUGAGUAACACGUGGGUAACCUCCCAUCAGAGGGGUGAACACUUGGAAACAGGCGCUAAACCGAUAUUGGUGGAAGGACCGGCGGGGCAUUAGCUAGUUGGUGAGGUAACGGCUCACCAAGGCCACAAUGCAUAGCCGACCUGAGAGGGUGAUCGGCCACACUGGGACUGAGACACGGCCCAGACUCCUACGGGAGGCAGCAGUAGGGAAUCUUCGACAAUGGACGAAAGUCUGACCGAGCAACGCCGCGUGAGUGAAGAAGGUUUUCGGAUCGUAAAACUCUGUUGUUAGAGAAGCGGUAUCCAACCAGAAAGCCACGGCUAACUACGUGCCAGCAGCCGCGGUAAUUC
rnacentral:rRNA from 1 species